UGGGGAAUAUUGGACAAUGGGCGCAAGCCUGAUCCAGCCAUGCCGCGUGUGUGAAGAAGGCCUUAGGGUUGUAAAGCACUUUCAGUGGGGAGGAAGGGUGUUGUGUUAAUAGCACAGCAUUUUGACGUUACCCACAGAAGAAGCACCGGCUAACUCCGUGCCAGCAGCCGCGGUAAUACGGAGGGUGCAAGCGUUAAUCGGAAUUACUGGGCGUAAAGCGCACGCAGGCGGCUUUUUAAGUCGGAUGUGAAAGCCCCGGGCUCAACCUGGGAAUUGCAUCUGAUACUGGGAAGCUAGAGUAUGUGAGAGGGGGGUUAGAAUUCCAAGUGUAGCGGUGAAAUGCGUAGAGAUUUGGAGGAAUACCAGUGGCGAAGGCGGCCCCCUGGCACAAUACUGACGCUCAGGUGCGAAAGCGUGGGGAGCAAAACAGGAUUAGAUACCCUGGUAGUCCACGCCGUAAAACGAUGUCUACUAGAUGUUCGUGGUCUUGUACCGUGAGUAUCGCAGCUAACGCAUUAAGUAGACCGCCUGGGGAGUACGGUCGCAAGAUU
rnacentral:rRNA from 1 species